rnacentral:rRNA from 1 species
AGUAACGCGUGGAGAACCUGCCGUAUACUGGGGGAUAACACUUAGAAAUAGGUGCUAAUACCGCAUAAGCGCACAGCUUCGCAUGAAGCAGUGUGAAAAACUCCGGUGGUAUACGAUGGAUCCGCGUCUGAUUAGCUGGUUGGCGGGGUAAAGGCCCACCAAGGCGACGAUCAGUAGCCGGCCUGAGAGGGUGAACGGCCACAUUGGGACUGAGAUACGGCCCAGACUCCUACGGGAGGCAGCAG